rnacentral:rRNA from 1 species
GACGAACGCUGGCGGCGUGCCUAACACAUGCAAGUCGAGCGGAGCUAGUAGCAAUAUUAGUUUAGCGGCGGACGGGUGAGUAACGCGUGGUCAACCUGCCUUCUACAGGGGGAUAACACAGGGAAACUUGUGCUGAUACCGCAUAACAUACUUAAGGGCCAUCCCUUGGGUAUCAAAGGAGCAAUCCGGUAGAAGAUGGGCCCGCGUCCGAUUAGCUAGUUGGAGGUGUAACGGACCACCAAGGCGACGAUCGGUAGCCGAACUGAGAGGUUGAUCGGGCACAUUGGGACUGAGACACGGCCCAGACUCCUACGGGAGGCAGCAGUGGGGAAUAUUGCGCAAUGGGGGAAACCCUGACGCAGCAACGCCGCGUGAAGGAUGAGGGUCUUCGGAUUGUAAACUUCUUUAGUCGGGGACGAAGAAAUGACGGUACCCGAAGAAUAAGCCACGGCUAACUACGUGCCAGCCGCCGCCGUAA